rnacentral:rRNA from 1 species
AACGAACGCUGGCGGCAGGCUUAACACAUGCAAGUCGAGCGCCCCGCAAGGGGAGCGGCAGACGGGUGAGUAACGCGUGGGAACGUACCCUUUGCUACGGAAUAGCUCCGGGAAACUGGAAUUAAUACCGUAUGUGCCCCACGGGGGAAAGAUUUAUCGGCAAAGGAUCGGCCCGCGUUGGAUUAGCUAGUUGGUGGGGUAAUGGCCUACCAAGGCGACGAUCCAUAGCUGGUCUGAGAGGAUGAUCAGCCACAUUGGGACUGAGACACGGCCCAACCUCCUACGGGAGGCAGCAGUGGGGAAUAUUGGACAAUGGGCGCAAGCCUGAUCCAGCCAUGCCGCGUGAGUGAUGAAGGCCUUAGGGUUGUAAAGCUCUUUCACCGGAGAAGAUAAUGACGGUAUCCGGAGAAGAAGCCCCGGCUAACUUCGUAUCAGCAGCCGCCGUAAAAC